UCGAACGAUGAACCCGGAGCUUGCUCUGGGGGAUUAGUGGCGAACGGGUGAGUAACACGUGAGUAACCUGCCCUGGACUCUGGGAUAAGCGUUGGAAACGACGUCUAAUACCGGAUAGGACCUUGGAUCGCAUGAUCUGGGGUGGAAAGUUUUUUCGGUCUGGGAUGGACUCGCGGCCUAUCAGCUUGUUGGUGAGGUAAUGGCUCACCAAGGCGUCGACGGGUAGCCGGCCUGAGAGGGUGACCGGCCACACUGGGACUGAGACACGGCCCAGACUCCUACGGGAGGCAGCAGUGGGGAAUAUUGCACAAUGGGCGAAAGCCUGAUGCAGCAACGCCGCGUGCGGGAUGACGGCCUUCGGGUUGUAAACCGCUUUUAGUAGGGAAGAAGGGCUUCGGCUUGACGGUACCUGCAGAAAAAGGACCGGCUAACUACGUGCCAGCAGCCGCGGUAAUACGUAGGGUCCGAGCGUUGUCCGGAAUUAUUGGGCGUAAAGAGCUCGUAGGCGGUUUGUCACGUCUGCUGUGAAAACUGGAGGCUCAACCUCCAGCCUGCAGUGGGUACGGGCAGACUAGAUUGCGGUAGGGGAGAAUGGAAUUCCUGGUG
rnacentral:rRNA from 2 species